AGUGAACGCUGGCGGUAGGCCUAACACAUGCAAGUCGAACGGCAGCACAGUAAGAGCUUGCUCUUACGGGUGGCGAGUGGCGGACGGGUGAGGAAUACAUCGGAAUCUACUUUUUCGUGGGGGAUAACGUAGGGAAACUUACGCUAAUACCGCAUACGACCUACGGGUGAAAGCAGGGGAUCUUCGGACCUUGCGCGAGUGAAUGAGCCGAUGUCGGAUUAGCUAGUUGGCGGGGUAAAGGCCCACCAAGGCGACGAUCCGUAGCUGGUCUGAGAGGAUGAUCAGCCACACUGGAACUGAGACACGGUCCAGACUCCUACGGGAGGCAGCAGUGGGGAAUAUUGGACAAUGGGCGCAAGCCUGAUCCAGCCAUACCGCGUGGGUGAAGAAGGCCUUCGGGUUGUAAAGCCCUUUUGUUGGGAAAGAAAAGCAGCAGGUUAAUACCCCGCUGUUCUGGCGGUACCCAAAGAAUAAGCACCGGCUAACUUCGUG
rnacentral:rRNA from 1 species